ACUCUGAUGCAGCAACGCCGCGUGAGGGAAGACGGUCUUCGGAUUGUAAACCUUUGUCUUCGGUGACGAUAAUGACGGUAGCCGAGGAGGAAGCUCCGGCUAACUACGUGCCAGCAGCCGCGGUAAUACGUAGGGAGCGAGCGUUGUCCGGAUUUACUGGGUGUAAAGGGUGCGUAGGCGGCUCUGCAAGUCAGGUGUGAAAACUAUGGGCUUAACUCAUAGAUUGCACUUGAAACUGUGGAGCUUGAGUGGAGUAGAGGCAGGCGGAAUUCCCGGUGUAGCGGUGAAAUGCGUAGAGAUCGGGAGGAACACCAGUGGCGAAGGCGGCCUGCUGGGCUUUAACUGACGCUGAAGCACGAAAGCAUGGGUAGCAAACAGGAUUAGAUACCCUGGUAGUCCAUGCCGUAAACGAUGAUUACUAGGUGUGGGGGGUCUGACCCCUUCCGUGCCGGAGUUAACACAAUAAGUAAUCCACCUGGG
rnacentral:rRNA from 1 species